GAGGAGCUGUGCCUCCCUGCCAGGCCUAAGGACAAGAGCCAAUACCUUGUAAAUGGAGCCCUUAUUUCCACCACUUUCCAGGACAUUUCCCAAGCUGGAUGUGAUUACCGUGCAGAACACACCUACGUCUACUUUGAAAUAACCCUGUUUUUGUACCUUCCCCACCCAACUAGGAGGCGGAGGAGUUUGCAAAGAGUGAAAGCUUAACCUACAUGGAAACGUCGGCAAAAUCCAACCACCAAGUGACCGAGGUGCUUAUGGCCAUAGGUCAGUUCCAAGUGAGAAGCCGCUGGACAGCUCCCGAGUUAUUGAAAUAGGAACAACAGAAGGAACCAGCCCCUCAGCCUCAGCCCUGGAAGAAGUCACGCGUGGACCUGCGAGAGCCAAGCAAUCAGACUAAGAAGUGUUGCAUGAACUAAAGGAAAUGGCAGACUGACCUAAGGUUACCAUCAAGUGUGGUUUUAUGGGGGGCGGAGGUAAGGGGGUAAGGGAGGCUGGCCCUAUGUAUUGUGUGCAGGCUGCAUGGUUCUAGGGGGCAGCUGGUGUGUCAGACCGUGAUUAUUGCUCUUAUUUUUCAUUAUUGUCAGUGUUCGAUUGAAGAAUUGUUCGAGAGGAGAUAUUGCCGAAUGCAAGGAACCUGAAAAGCGCUGCAAGUCUCCUAUCGCUUGUGUUUGCUCAGUGUUAUCAUUAUACAAUACAGUGCAAAGUAGCUUCACAAAUAAAAACAGCAAAAAGGA